GAGACGGAAGUCAGGAAGUUUAAGGUCUUAGAUUGGCGAGUACUCAGUGCACCUAAAGUAAAAAUGAAACGAAGUUUAAGUUUACAAAGAAAACGGAAUGAUACGUGGGCUGCGAAGAAAAAUUGCACAACAAAUACAAUAACAAAAAUGUGGUCGUCACGUCAACUUUAGUCGUCUCUUUAAAGAGUUGCUUAAUACACACUCCAUGCUGUUUGACAGAUUUGAGGCCUCAGCCUGCCAGCCAUCAUAACCACAAGAGUUUUACUUGUGGUUGACCUGUCAUCUGCAACAAUCUCAGUAUCAUCACUUGGAUAAACAACAUCCCCUUUGAUUGAGAGAACCUAUCAAUGUCGGUCGAGUUACGGAUCUCUUCUUCCCCUUUCUGUAAAUCCUCUCUGUCCUCGUGUACACCCAUGUGAGUGUGGGUGUAUUCACGAGUCUGAGGCCCUUUUCUCUGUCCCUCCUGAUGGUGUAUUCAACUUUUCUGCUGAUGGAGCACUUGGGGAUGCCUGGCCGAUUUCCCAGGCUUAGAGGUAGGAAAAAUGUUUCUCUAUGCUCCCUUUCUACUAUAUAUUUGAUGGCGUUGAUUGUAAAUCGUGACAUAGUACGGAGUACGAUUGUUUCUGAGCUAGACUGGAGCUGUUUUUUCUUGCCUCAGUUAGGGUUCAUUAAAAAACUCAUUUGUAGAACGACUGCAGACAGGCCCGGUUUUGUACCUUACAAUUGUGUCUGUGGGUAAACAAUCAAAUUCAAAAAGAUUUGAACUUUAAACACUUCAUAAAUGCGAAGUGCAGCUAGACAUUUUUUUUUACCACAGAACCUGCCACACCGACACCACUGGCUCCUCCUCGUUAUUGGAGGUUUGUGUGAAAUCUUUAAAAAGGCUAAGCGUUCCUUUCAUCUAAUGUGAUGUCUUAAAACGACUUGUAUUCUUCCUACACUGUCUAUGAUAGUGGGAAAUAACCUUUUUAAACAAAGUUAAAUUUUUAAUUAGAGUGUAACGAUUUGGGAUUUUGUAUUCUUUUAUUGAAUAUUUUUUCAAAAGAAAUUUGAGCUGUUCAAUUUUCUUUUGAUUCUUUCCGUUCGAUUUGCCUAGAAAAGUUUGAGAUCGAAAUCAUUGGUUGUUUAUUGCCUGAAUGUGAAUUUUUGGGGUCGUAAAACCAUGAAUUGGCAAUUUUCGUACGACGACCUCUCUGACUCCAUAAUUAAUCGUAGAGUCUGUAUAGCCAUGGGUUGACUCAUGGUGGCCUUUACUUUUUUUUUUUUUUUUUCGAAACGGCAUGCACAGCAUUUACGUACGGGUAUCAGUUAUCAAGUGAAUGACGCACCGUUCCCGAUCUCUGGUCUUCACCGUCUCUUAUGGUAAAAAUUUGGGGCAGAGAUCAUUCAGUCCAAAUCAAGCUGAUUUUACGGUAUUUUGUCCUAAUUACUAGUUUCCAAGUAACAAUUUAGCCAAAUGUGGAAGACAUUAUUGGUAGGUCCAUCAUGGUCGACUAAUGAACUCGAGUGAACUAUUGUACACGACAAUGAAUGAAAACAUUAGCGCAGAAUGAAGUUCUUUCUAGAUUAGGCGAUGUCGAUUGAGACUUAAUCCUACACUUUUCGUUUUGUGCAUUUUAUGGGACAUUGCUUUAUCGUUGGAUUAAAUACUAAAAAAAAAGCGAAAAACUUCUUUCUUGGCACACAAUCUUUUUAAAAAUCUCUUGGGGAAGCGCAACUCUCUAAUGACUCUAAUGACGCAUUACAAUGUUUACCGUUUAUGGCACUCAAAGUAAUGGCCAUAUUUGCUCUACAUAGUGUAUUUAGUGUUUAUGUAUACUUGUGCUUGGGUAACAGAGAACUACGAUUACGACCGCGCGUGAUUUUUUGAAAAGCCAAAACGCCACCUUUUGAGUUAAAGUAGUACUGCACUUUAGACGCUGAGUAUUAUUUUUUUCGUGAAUGAGAAAAUAAUAUAAAAAAUUUUAUUUGUUUUUAAAAAGAAAAAAUCAAAACUGUUUGAAUCAAUAUUAUUUUCUAGUCCGCUGGGAAUUAGAUUUGUCUCUGUUUAGAAUUUUGACCCACUCACGCUGACGCGACAAAGUGUAAUAAGAGUCGAUUGACGAUUAAUUUUGGUUUGGUCUUAACUGCGUACGCGUUACUCGUCUUAAAACCGCUUUUGGGUGUGUGUGUAUUCCGCAUAAAAACAAGACGAUAACCUGCUUGACAUUAGUAUUUCCGGCUCGAAUAAUAUUCCUGUCCAAUGUCACGACCUUUGAAAGUUUUGACUAUGGUAACUCAAAAGAUUAAUCGGAAGUUAAUACUUCUGUGCGACUGCAA